UACGAAGGGAGCUAGCGUUGUUCGGAAUCACUGGGCGUAAAGCGCACGCAGGCGGCGUGGUAAGUCAGUUGUGAAACUCCCGGGCUUAACUUGGGAACUGCAGCUGAUACUGCCAUGCUUGAGUACGGAAGAGGGGAGUGGAAUUCCCAGUGUAGAGGUGAAAUUCGUAGAUAUUGGGAGGAACACCGGUGGCGAAGGCGGCUCCCUGGUCCGAUACUGACGCUCAUGUGCGAAAGCGUGGGGAGCAAACAGG
rnacentral:rRNA from 1 species